AUUGGAAACGAUAGCUAAUACCGCAUAACAACAGUUGUUGCAUGACAGCUGUUUAAAAGAUGCAAUUGCAUCACUACCAGAUGGACCUGCGUUGUAUUAGCUAGUUGGUGAGGUAACGGCUCACCAAGGCGACGAUACAUAGCCGACCUGAGAGGGUGAUCGGCCACACUGGGACUGAGACCCGGCCCAGACUCCUACGGGAGGCAGCAGUAGGGAAUCUUCGGCAAUGGGGGGAACCCUGACCGAGCAACGCCGCGUGAGUGAAGAAGGUUUUCGGAUCGUAAAGCUCUGUUGUAAGAGGGGAACGGGUGUGAGAGUGGAAAGUUCACACUGUGACGGUAUCUUACCAGAAAGGGACGGCUAACUACGUGCCAGCAGCCGCGGUAAUACGUAGGUCCCGAGCGUUGUCCGGAUUUAUUGGGCGUAAAGCGAGCGCAGGCGGUUAGAUAAGUCUGAAGUUAAAGGCUGUGGCUUAACCAUAGUAUGCUUUGGAAACUGUUUAACUUGAGUGCAGAAGGGGAGAGUGGAAUUCCAUGUGUAGCGGUGAAAUGCGUAGAUAUAUGGAGGAACACCGGUGGCGAAAGCGGCUCUCUGGUCUGUAACUGACGCUGAGGCUCGAAAGCGUGGGGAGCAAACAGGAUUAGAUACCCUGGUAGUCCACGCCGUAAACGAUGAGUGCUAGGUGUUAGGCCCUUUCCGGGGCUUAGUGCCGCAGCUAACGCAUUAAGCACUCCGCCUGGGGAGUACGACCGCAAGGUUGAAACUCAAAGGAAUUGACGGGGGCCCGCACAAGCGGUGGAGCAUGUGGUUUAAUUCGAAGCAACGCGAAGAACCUUACCAGGUCUUGACAUCCCUCUGACCGCCCUAGAGAUAGAGUUUUCCUUCGGGACAGAGGUGACAGGUGGUGCAUGGUUGUCGUCAGCUCGUGUCGUGAGAU
rnacentral:rRNA from 1 species